AUGGCACAUAUUGAUGGCAUCUGAGAUAUGUUAAAGAUUUAUUGGUAUAAGAUGGGCAUGCGUCUGAUUAGCUAGUUGGCGGUGUAACGGACCACCAAGGCGACGAUCAGUAGGGGUUCUGAGAGGAAGGUCCCCCAUACUGGCACUGAGAUACGGGCCAGACUCCUACGGGAGGCAGCAGUAGGGAAUAUUGGGCAAUGGUCGGAAGACUGACCCAGCCAUGCCGCGUGCAGGAAGACGGCCCUCUGGGUUGUAAACUGCUUUUAUCUGGGAAGAAAAAGGCCAUGCGUGGCAAAUUGCCGGUACCAGAUGGAUAAGCACCGGCUAACUCCGUG
rnacentral:rRNA from 1 species